UUUAAUUGAAGAGUUUGAUCAUGGCUCAGAUUGAACGCUGGCGGCAGGCCUAACACAUGCAAGUCGAGCGGAAACGAAGAGGUGCUUGCACCUUUGGCGUCGAGCGGCGGACGGGUGAGUAAUGCUUGGGAAUAUGCCUUAUGGU
rnacentral:rRNA from 1 species